GUGAACGCUGGCGGUAGGCCUAACACAUGCAAGUCGAACGACAGCACAGUAAGAGCUUGCUCUUACGGGUGGCGAGUGGCGGACGGGUGAGGAAUACAUCGGAAUCUACUUUUUCGUGGGGGAUAACGUAGGGAAACUUACGCUAAUACCGCAUACGACCUACGGGUGAAAGCAGGGGAUCUUCGGACCUUGCGCGAUUGAAUGAGCCGAUGUCGGAUUAGCUAGUUGGCGGGGUAAAGGCCCACCAAGGCGACGAUCCGUAGCUGGUCUGAGAGGAUGAUCAGCCACACUGGAACUGAGACACGGUCCAGACUCCUACGGGAGGCAGCAGUGGGGAAUAUUGGACAAUGGGCGCAAGCCUGAUCCAGCCAUACCGCGUGGGUGAAGAAGGCCUUCGGGUUGUAAAGCCCUUUUGUUGGGAAAGAAAAGCAGCAGGUUAAUACCCCGCUGUUCUGACGGUACCCAAAGAAUAAGCACCGGCUAACUUCGUG
rnacentral:rRNA from 1 species